GAAGGUUACUAGGAUGAUCAGGAAAGAUUUGAGUGAGUCAGGAAAUGAUUGCAGUCUACAGAAGCCUAAAAUCCUAUUGACUUUCAGAUGCCAGAAAGGCCUGCUCAUGUCUGCAAGAUGAGUUUCUCAUGGCUCUGCACUGACUGUGAUGAUAACGUGUUGAUCCUUAUCCAUCGUGAGCUAUCUACAUCAUCUUCCUCGACCGCUAAGCUCUCAAAGCAAACACUGCAACCGAGGGACAAAAGUAAGGUUUUUAGGCUUGUUUCAGGGAGAAUCUUUCUCAUCCAUCACUGCAAGCUGUGGAGGAGAUGGGGUUCACCAACAAGUUUCUUCAUCCUGUUCCAUAGCAGAAGAAAACCGUGAUUAUCUGACAGCCAUUAGUGCACCUGCAGUGGGAGAGAAAAACCUUACACUUUAUCUAAGCAAUCAAUGGGAAGUUAAAGAGCAUCUGCUGUCAGCACAGAUUGAUCUGGAAUUCCUUCACCUCUUCAGAUCCUUGUGCAUCAAAUAUUAGUUUGCAUCAAAAGUUGGAACGGUGACUGAAAGAUCUUGGGAGUUCACAAAACUACAAGAGCAAAUCAAGGAAAAUGCCUUCCAUUUCUAUGGCCUGCAGACUUCAAAACCUGUAAUUGUGCUGGAAGUCUUUGAUCUCAACAUUACUCUUCUGUCGACUUUGAAGUCAAAAGCAUAGGGUUAUUGCAGUGGGGUCCUGAUGUGUCAAGUGUUAAUUCCAUGUAGCCACUUUCAAGGCACACCAUAUUAGCUACUGACCACUAAGUGCUAAAGGGUGUAACCACAUGGAGAGUUUUCUUCCUGCUCAAGGUUUCACACAUCAGUAGUUUCGGUGCACAGUUUUUUACUAAGAGAGAGUUCACUGGAGACCACUGAUGCAUAGGACCUCAGGAAUGUGUUUUCUGGGACAAAUGGGCAAUUACAUAUCUUUAAUAAUCAACUUUUACAGCAGAACAGGAGUUAAAACGAUGUCAAAAACUAACCACAAUAGUGCAAAUGUUAUUUUUGGAACCUAGGAGGGAGCCCAAGGAAGAGGAGGGAUGGACAGAGGCUGGCACAUGGGGAGCUGUGCCUGCUGACCCCUGGCAUGGGACCUGACUGCUACAGAUCCCCAUCUCUCCACAGCGUUGCUCCUAACUUUUGUCAUGCUGCAAUGAAGCAUCCCUGGAGUUCUGCAAUGUUUCCUAUGAGGCCAGAGUGGCUUUCUUAUUACAACCUCUUGAGCAUCGAUUCUCGAGGAGUUUCCUCAUCAUUAAAAGCUCGUCAAGGGCAAGGUUUGAAAAUACAAAUACACAAUGAUAAAGCAGAAUCAGCAUGUGUUGUGGCAUUGAGCAGUUUCUACCUGGUCAUCAUCAAUCUUUCAUGGUGUAGCAGGGGUGAUGUGUAGAACUUCUCUGGGCUGGUACAGCCCCUCACCAGGUGAGUUCAUAGGACAUCAGCUCCUUGCCCACAGCUGUAGUGGCACAGACCCUGUUUUUGUUUCAAGUUAAAAUGCUCUUUGAAGACCCUAAGUGAGCCUUUAGGUAAACUCACAAAUGGCUGUUGUGAAGAGGGUCUCUAAAAAUGGACUUUUAACAUAGUUAAGCUGAGAAAUGUCUUACGGAACGUUGCCAGCCUGUUUCUGACAAUAACGCCUUUACCUAAGGAGCAAAGUAUUUGUGACAAUGUCAAUAAAAAGCAGCUCUGACAGCAGCUUUGAGUAUCAGCAUAGAUGCAGAAUGCUGACUAUUACUUGUGUUAUCAAUUGGUAACACCUUUCACAAGCAAGAUGUCCCUGUAGAAAGCUGAGGCUUUUAUAAGCAUCGUCAUUUCCUGUCAGGUUUGACAUGGUUGGGUCUGAAUGGGUUUGAGGUUUUUGCUGUUGCUUAAAUCUGUGAUAAGAGAAGCGAGCAUCUUCUGAGGGAUGGGUGCUGAAAAUUGGACUCAGUUCAAAUGGCAAUGUUUUCAUUCAUUCUGCUGCGCUUUUUUUUCUGAGUUCUGAGAUCUGUCGAAGACAAACCUGAAGUAAUGGAGUGAUUCAACAAUUUUUUUGGUACUAAAACAGUGCACGUUCAGCUCAUACAGAGACUUAUUACUACACUAAAUAUCUUUCUCUUUUAAAGCUCUGGAGUUCAGGAACUCUGUGCAGUCACCAUGGCCUUCAGAUGCCCCAAGGGCACCAGCAGAGAGGAACGAGGGUGGCAAGAGCUCAGGCAGCUGUGAGCACACUGCAAUGUCAUGCUGUACAACAAAUGCCAGCAUUCAACCAGUGAGAAAUCUGGUAGCAUUUGGGGAUCACUGAAUGGAGGACUGGGCACUGAGAACUUCAUACUGCCCAGCAGCGAGGAGCAGACGUAUGUAAGUGAUGAAAAUUAAAGCACUAACCACAUCAAUUGUCCAGCAGAGAGGUCAUGGUGUACUUCAUUGGGUACUACAGGAAUAAGGGCU